rnacentral:lncRNA from 1 species
CCGCUCCCUCCCCGCUGGCGGGCGGGGCCGCGCUCCUCCCCGGCUCCGCCCUCGCUCCGCCUCCCGCCUCGGCCGCCCCGCCCCUCCGCCCUCCGCGGCCGAGCGGCCUAGCUGGUCCGGCGCGCGGGUCUCCCCGCGAGGCCCGACCUUUGUUCCCGACCUGCCCGGCCGCGCCGUCCCGGGUGCGUCCCGCGUGCCUGCCCCGCCUCUCUCCUCACAUUUUCCGGUCGCCGUGGCCCCUUUUCGGAGUCGGGAGUGCGGAGGCGGUUUCCUCGCGUGUCUGUGGCUGGGGGCCGCCCCUCGCGCCCCCCGGGUUCGGCGCGCACCUACUCUGCGGCUCGGCCGCCGCGCCUGAGUUCGGCGAAAGCCUUUCCAGGGCAAGUCUGUCCGUGACCCUCUCGGAGAGUCGCAGUUUCUAAAUCUCUCGAAGUAACGCGGCUUUAGCCAGGAGGUCCCAAGCGUUAGGAUUAAAAAUAAAGAUAAAAGGGGAAUGGGGGGCUGGGGGAGGUGGACCUUGUGUUUGCACCUAGGUGAAACCUUCCUCUGCAGGCGGCGGUGUUUGCUUAGGGUCUCCCGCACCACCUGGAUUGCCCGGAGAGCGAUGUAUGAGCUUGCAAAUUUACACACAGACACACACACACAGGACUCUGCAGAUGAAUCCUUUCCCUCCGCCUACAUCCUGUGUGGUAGUAGUGGGGAUCGAACUUGGGUCCUUGUGCUUGAGCAGCAGCAGCAGCACCAGAAAAAAGAAGAAGAAGAGGAGGAGGAGGAGGAGGAGCAAGAAGAAGAAGGAGGAGAAGAAGAAGAAGAGGAAGAAGAAAGAAGAGGAGGAGGAAGCAGAAGAAGCAACUUUUCAAUUGUGGGCAGAAAUCCCAAGACCAAACUGGUUGUUUCUUCUAGAAAGAUGACUCUUUAAGUUAUUAUCAUUCUCCUUCCAGGGUGCUGUUCAGGGACAGGCCUGGCAAAAUAAAACUGCUACUGGAGAGAUUGUGCCUCUGUUUACUAGGGGUCAUUUUGGUUUGGUGGGGGUUUUUUGGCACUGGAGAUGGGACUUGGGACCCUGUGCUCGCGAGGCAGGCAGCGGAACCACUGAGCUAAAUCCCUGGCCCUGGUUGUUUUGUUUUUGAAACAGAGUCUGGCUGAGUUAUCCAGGCUAGCUUGGAGCUCUCUACACUC